rnacentral:rRNA from 1 species
AAUGAACGUUGGCGGCGUGGAUUAGGCAUGCAAGUCGCGCGACAAGGAACCUUCGGGUUCUGGAGGAGCGGCAAACGGGGUAGUAAGGCAUCGGAACGUACCCUCUUGUUGGGAAUAGCCGCGGGAAACUGCGAGUAAUGCCCAAUAAUCCCUACGGGGCAAAGGUCCGCCGCAGGAGGAGCGGCCGAUGUGAUACCAGCUAGUUGGUGAGGUAAUGGCUCACCAAGGCUUAGACGUCUAGGGGGUGUGAGAGCAUGGCCCCCACCACUGGGACGUGAGAUACUGCCCACGACACCUACGGGUGGGCUGCAGUCGAGAAUCUUCGACAAUGGGCGGCAAGACCUCGAUCCAGCCACUGCCGCCGUGAGUGAUGAAGG